UAUGAACGCUGGCGGCGUGCCUAAUACAUGCAAGUCGAGCGAACGGACGAGAAGCUUGCUUCUCUGAUGUUAGCGGCGGACGGGUGAGUAACACGUGGAUAACCUACCUAUAAGACUGGGAUAACUUCGGGACACCGGAGCUAAUACCGGAUAAUAUUUUGAACCGCAUGGUUCAAAAGUGAAAGACGGUCUUGCUGUCACUUAUAGAUGGAUCCGCGCUGCAUUAGCUAGUUGGUAAGGUAACGGCUUACCAAGGCAACGAUGCAUAGCCGACCUGAGAGGGUGAUCGGCCACACUGGAACUGAGACACGGACCAGACGACUACGGGAGGCAGCAGUAGGGAAUCGUCCGCAGUGGGCGAAAGCCUGACGGAGCGACGCCGCGUGAGUGGUGAAGGUCUUCGGAUCGGAAAACUCUGUUAUUGGGGAAAAACAUAUGUGUAAGUAACUGUGCACAUCUUGACGGUACCUAAUCAGAAAGCCACGGCUAACUACGUG
rnacentral:rRNA from 1 species